rnacentral:rRNA from 1 species
CCUACGGGAGGCAGCAGUGAGGAAUAUUGGUCAAUGGUCGGGAGACUGAACCAGCCAAGCCGCGUGAGGGAGGAAGGUACAGAGUAUCGUAAACCUCUUUUGUCAGGGAACAAAGGCGGGGACGUGUCCCCGGAUGAGUGUACCUGAAGAAAAAGCAUCGGCUAACUCCGUGCCAGCAGCCGCGGUAAUGCGGAGGAUGCGAGCGUUAUCCGGAUUUAUUGGGUUUAAAGGGUGCGCAGGCGGUCUGUUAAGUCAGCUGUCAAAGCCCGGGGCUCAACCCCGUCCGGCCGUUGAAACUGGGGGCCUUGAGUGGGCGAGAAGAAGGCGGAAUGCGUGGUGUAGCGGUGAAAUGCAUAGAUAUCACGCAGAACCCCGAUUGCGAAGGCAGCCUUCCGGCGCCCUACUGACGCUGAGGCACGAAAGUGCGGGGAUCGAACAGGAUUAGAUACCCUGGUAGUC